CACGAGCUUCGGCUUUGUUUCUUGUUUUUAAGCAAUUUAUGUUAGAGUGUAUGAGUUGUGGGAAUGACUCUCUGGCACUGACUGUUUUGCGGAAGCAGGUUCCUGCAUUACUACUAGGCAGGGAGGAUAUNNNNNNNNNNUAGUCUCCUUAACUUGAAGGAGAAGGACUUGAGUAACUUGGAUGAAAAUUCCAUCUUUGAGCUGCGGAAAAGGUUGUUGGCAGAUUUGGAAAAAUUGCUUCCUCCUCCAAGUGUGUUGCCUGAGAGAAGGUUGGAGCAUCUUGUUGAAACUGCUGUUACAGCUCAAAUUGAUUCAUGUAUGUAUCACAAUUCACAGGAGGCAGUUUCACUCUAUGAGGACCAUUGCUGCACAAGAGAACAGAUACCCAUAGAGACCAUUCAGAUUUUGACUGACCAUGAGAAUGAAGUGUGGUUUGUACAGUUCUCUAAUAAUGGAGAGUACUUAGCCUCUUCAUCGAGUGAUUGUACGGCCAUCAUAUGGAAGGUACCGGAAGAUGGGAGGUUAACUUUUAAGCACACCUUGCGAAGCCACCAAAACCCAGUGUCCUUUGUGGCUUGGAGCCCUGACGAUGGAAAGUUACUAACAUGUG
rnacentral:misc_RNA from 1 species